GCGGUUCUCUUUCUCUCUCCCAACAUGGCGGCCUCAGCAAAAAAGAAGAAGAAGGGGAAGACUAUCUCCCUUACAGACUUUCUGGCUGAGGAUGGGGGGACUGGUGGAGGAAGGACCUAUGUUUCCAAACCAGUCAGCUGGGCUGAUGAAACAGAUGACCUGGAAGGAGAUGUUUCAACAACUUGGCACAGUAAUGAUGCCGACGUGUAUACGGCGCCUCCAAUUGAGCGUUCUAUCCUUCCCACUGCUCCACGGGCUGCUCGGGAACCCAAUAUCCACCGGAGCCGUCUUCCCAAAUAGCCACCCUACACUGCUUUCCUGGGGAACCUACCCUAUGAUGUGACAGAAGAGUCAAUUAAGGAAUUUGUCAGAGGAUUCAGCAUCAGUGCAGUGCGUUUACCACGUGAACCCAGCAAUCCAGAGAGGUUGAAAGGUUUUGGUUAUGCUGAAUUUGAGGACCUGGAUUCCCUGCUUAGUGCCCUGAGUCUCAAUGAAGAGUCUCUAGGUAACAGGAGAAUUCGAGCGGACGUUGCUGAUCAAGCACAGGAUAAAGACAGGGACGAUCGUUCUUUUGGCCGUGAUAGAAAUCGGGAUUCUGACAAAACAGAUACAGACUGGAGGGCUCGUCCUGCCACAGACAGCUUUGAUGACUACCCGCCUAGAAGAGGUGAUGAUAGCUUUGGAGACGAGCAUCGAGAUCGUUAUGAUUCAGACCGGUAUCGGGAUGGGUACCGGGAUGGCCCUCGCCGGGAUAUGGAUGGAUAUGGUGGCCGGGAUGGCUAUGAUGACCAAGGCAGCAGAGACUAUGAUCGAGGCUAUGACUCUCGGAUAGGCAGUGGCAGAAGAGCAUUGGCAGUGGACACCGCAGGGAUGACUACAGAGGAGGCGGGGAUCGCUCUGAAGACCGAUGUGACAGGCGGGAUGAUCGGUCAUGGAGCUCCAGAGAUGAUUCCUCUCGGGAUGAUUACAGGCCUGACGAUAGAGGUCCGCCCCAAAGACCCAAACUGAAUCUAAAGCCUCGGAGUACUCCUAAGGAAGGUGAUUCCUCUGCUAGUACCUCCCAGUCCAGUCGAGCUGCUUCUAUCUUUGGAGGGGCAAAACCCGUUGACACAGCUGCUAGAGAAAGAGAAGUAGAAGAACGGCUACAGAAGGAACAAGAGAAGUUGCAGCGUCAGCUGGAUGAGCCAAAACUAGAAAGACAGCCUCGGGAGAGACACCCAAGCUGGCGGAGUGAAGAAACUCAGGAACGGGAACGGUCGAGAACAGGAAGUGAGUCAUCGCAGACUGGGACCUCCACCACAUCUGGCAGAAAUGCACGAAGGAGAUAGAGUGAGAAGUCUCUAGAAAAUGAAACACUCGGCAGGGAGGAAGAUUGUCACUCUCCAACUUCUAAACCUCCCAAACCUGAUCAGCCCCUAAAGGUAAUGCCAGCCCCUCCGCCAAAGGAGAAUGCUUGGGUGAAGCGAAGUUCUAACACUCCUGCUCGAUCUCAGAGCUCAGACACAGGGCAGCAAUCCCCUACAAGUGGUGGGGGCAAAGUAGCUCCAGCUCAACCAUCUGAGGAAGGACCAGCCAGGGAAGAUGAAAAUAAAAUAGAUGGGAUGAACGUCCCAAAAGGCAAACUGGGAACUCUAGCCGUGGUCCAGGAGACGGAGUGAACAAAGACCACUGGAAGGAGUCAGAUCGGAAAGAUGGCAAAAAGGAUCAAGACUCCAGAUCUGCACCUGAGCCAAAGAAACCUGAGGAAAAUCCAGCUACCAUGUUCAGUUCUGCGAGCAAGUAUGCUGCUCUCUCUGUUGAUGAUGAAGAUGAAAACCAGGGAGAAGAUUAUGCUGAAUAGACCUCAACAUCCUGUGCUUUCUCCUAAUUUCUCUCCACCCUGGAACAUUCGAGAGCAAAUCAAACCUCUAUCCAGGCAAGACAAAACAAAACUCACCAUCUCCUGGAGACCUUUCUUACCUUUUUUUUUAAUGGAAUUCUUUUGCAUGCUGCUGCAGCCUUUAAAGUAUUGAGGUAACAGGAGAACCGCCAAUAUAGCCAGAGAGAAAGAGACUACAGCUUUUUGUGGAAAAGUUGUGGCGCAUUGUGUCACCGUGCACUUGCCAGUGUGAUUAGUGUCUAGGGGCCUCCAUUGAGCAGAAAUGGUAAUGACAGUGAUAAAACGUCUGGAAUGUGGUUGGGCAGUAGGGGAGGGAGGUAUAAGGAAAAGUGUGAGACUUCUACCUUUCAGUUUUUAUCCUGUUGUGGCAUAUAUGAAUUCUCAAACAUUAUCUGAAUAAAUUUUCCACUCUAGGAAAGGUAGAUUUAGCCUCAAGUUGUUUUAGCUUCCAGGAGGCUGCCGGCCCCUCCUCAUAUUUAAUUCUGAGUUUUGGGGGCCAGCCUAAGGGAAAUUCCUUCAUUUUUUUUAAUCCCCCAAGGGGGUAGUUGGGAGUGAGUCUAUAGAUCAUAAAGAAUAAGACUAUUGGACCAAAAUAGAUGGGAAAAUCGUGGUUUGAAAAGCUGCUUUUGGGAGGAGAUGAGUCAUUUUGCACCAGGUAAUAGAGAAAAAUUGUGUGACCUCCAACAAACAUGAAUGGUUAUUUCCUGGAGCUGGAAACACUUGGGGGUCGUAAUUCCCAGUGUUUUUUGUGCCCUGGUUUUACCCUUUCUAAGCACUGUCCUUUUUGAAAGUUUGAAUAUAUCCACAUUCUGUUGAAACCUUGACAAGAUGUCACAAAAUUCUUCAUGCUACUCUCAGCCUCCCAAAAUGCUGUCUCUAAGUCGCAGAUGACCUCUUGGGCAUUUUCUCUCAGCCACGGACAGCCGUGAAAGGGAGAAUCACUGCUUUUCUCAAGCAAAUCUUGAUGUCUUUUGGUUCUCACUCCUUGUCUGCUCCUGAUGCUUUCACCCCUUUUAUAGAUCAGAGUGCUCUAGAAUAAUGGAUGCUCUUGGGUGGUAAAUAAAGGUGGAUAAAUAGGAACAGGGACAGUUAAAUUGGGAGCAUUUCUUACAACCUUGAGUCCCCCGUACCCGCACCCCCCCCAGCCAGGUUUCCUUCUCCACUGAAAUGCCACAGCAGUGCUUGUUGGAUUUAUGAGGUGGCCAGACCAAUGUGUGUUUUCUUUUUCUUUUUCUUUCUUUCUUUUUUUUUUUUUAAAGCUUCCCCUGAGAGAAUAAAUGGUAAUGGAGAGAAUUAUUUAACAAGUUCCUGGUUUGUCUUGCAACACAGUAGCUAAACUUCCUGCUUUUAUGUGCAGUUUUGUAGGGAUCAGCUUGGUAGACAGUAUUAGCGGAUAAAUGACACCUGGAUCUUGGUUUGCAAGCCCUUCUCCCAUCAGCCAUAGAUUAGGUCCUGUUCAGCUAUGCGGGGGUGUUGGUUUAUGCUUGCUGCAGCAGUGGGCAUAAUGAAUAUAAUUUACCCAGUGGACAAAGAUGUGUACCAAGUGAAUUUAAAUAAUUGGUGUGGAUUGGCCAGUAGCUAAGAAGUGGGCUUUAAAAGAGAUACUAAAGAUUGAAAGGUUUUUUUUUUUUUCUUUAAAGAAAAACCAUUGAUUGUA